GCUUGUCUCAAAGAUUAAGCCAUGCAUGUCUAAGUAUAAACACCUUUAUACAGUGAAACUGCGUACAGCUCAUUAUAUCAGUUAUGAUUUAUUUGAUGGUUAUUUUCUACAUGGAUACCUGUAGUAAUUCUAGAGCUAAUACAUGCAUAAAGUCCCAACUCGUGAGGGAAGGGAUGUAUUUAUUAGAUAGCAAACCAAUGCAGGCGCAAGUCUGGUUUUUUGGUGACUCCUAGUAACUGUUCGAAUCGCAUGGCUUUAUGCUGGCGAUAGUUCAUUCAAAUUUCUGCCCUAUCAGCUUUCGACGGUAGUGUAGUGGACUACCGUGGCAUUAACGGGUGACGGAGAAUUAGGGUUCGAUUCCGGAGAGGGAGCCUGAGAAACGGCUACCACAUCCAAGGAAGGCAGCAGG
rnacentral:rRNA from 1 species